rnacentral:lncRNA from 1 species
CGGAUUACGAAGGAAAUUAAAAUACAACUAAAAGCUUUUAAGGACUUAGUUGUAUUAAUAGAUAUUUUUGGAUGUAAUAAAAAUAUUUCAAACACUAUAAAUACUUUGUGUAAUUUUUAUAUUUCAAACACUAAAAUACAUUUUACAGGAAAAAUCAGGUGCGACCCUGUCCGCAACAGACCAAUGUGCGGUACCUUACCUCUGUACGCCGAUCAACUCCGUUAUCACAGGGCUGAUGAAUGACCAACACGAGGAAAUAAAAAAGAAUCAAAUACCUGAUGAAUGGCUUCCCAUCGUACGAAGAGGAGUUGAUCCGGGGCCCUGUGAUAUAUAUCUACCGUUCCGGGAACCGCGAUUGCGAGUUCCGCGGAACUCGAUUUCGGUUCCGCGAUCGCAAUCGUUCCAGGAACCCAACUCGCCAUUCCUGGAACGAUUGCAGUUCCGGAAUGGCGAGUUGGGUUCCUGGAACGAAUGUGCUGAUAAUGGCGAGUUGGGUUCCGGAAUGGCGAGGUGGUUUUCUGAUUUUUGAUUUCCUUACUAGGUGUGUUCCUCACCAAAUCGAGGAUGCUCGCCUGCGUUUCUUCAUCAUUGAAUUACGGUUCUGAAUUACAAGGGAGCGAUUUAAAUGGAUUCGACUUCGGAUCUCUGGGCACGCCAUGGUGUAAGAUCUGGACGGUACCACACCAACAUUCCUGGAACGAUUGCAGUUCCGGAAUGGCGAGUUGGGUUCCUGGAACGAAUGUGCUGAUAAUGGCGAGUUGGGUUCCGGAAUGGCGAGGUGGUUUCCCUCUUUUUGAUUUCCUUACUAGGUGUGUUCCUCACCAAAUCGAGGAUGCUCGCCUGCGUUUCUUCAUCAUUGAAUUACGGUUCUGAAUUACAAGGGAGCGAUUUAAAUGGAUUCGACUUCGGAUCUCUGGGCACACCAUGGUGUAAGAUCUGGACGGUACAACGAGGAAAUAAAAAAGAAUCAAAUCCAUCGUACGAAGAGGAGUUGAUCCGGGGCCCUGUAAUAUAUAUCUACCGUUCCGUGACCGCGAUUGCGAGUUCCGCGGAACUCGAUUUCGGUUCCGCGGAAUCGGAACAUAAACCGGAAUCGGAACGACGCGGAAUCGGAAUCGGAACCCGGAACCCGGAACCGGAAUCGUACGGAUCGAGGAGGGGAAUGGACGGUUUGAUCUGGUGUCCGCACGGUGAUCACCGUGCGGACGGACCGUUCCAGAUGUUUUUCCAUACAUUUUAUAUAGUUUUCAAAAG